UGGUGUAUGGCUGUAGAUAUAUUAUAUAUAAACAAAGAGAGUGAACUUUGCAAGUUAUGUAUCUAUUACAUAUACCAUUAAAAGUGAAUCUAAACACUGUGAAAUUGUGAAUGCAAAAAUACUUAAAUUAUUUAGAAUUAGCAAAAAACAGAAAUAUAAUAAGAUAUUGUUUAAUUUAUUUAAACAUUUUUAGGAUAAGAUGUUUAAAUAAGAAUUUGACGAGAAUUUAUUUCUCAGUAUAUAGAUUGAGUAGUUGGAGCAGGAUGGGUGGGGUUGGGACGGUUCUCCUGGUCCUACUAUUUAUACUGGAUGUAUUUACGGAUAUUGCAUGCGGAGUAGAACUGAUCCUUAAUGAUCAUCCGGAAUAUGGACUACUGAUGUUAUUGUUAGUGGCGGCUCCUGGUAUUAUAGCAGUUCUAGCAGAGAUAUAUAAAUGCUGUCUUUACGAGGGAGUUUGUGGAAGGAAUGCUGCUGACUGGUUAUAUCUAUUCAUCUACCCUAUAUUUACUGUAAUCAUGAUGCUGCUGGGGACCUGUCAUUUGACAUGUAAAAGGGAAGGGAUGUAUUUGAGGAGCCUAGAAGGAUUUAUAACAGCUGCGGGUCAAAUCAUUUUGAACCUUUAUAUUCUCUCCAG